rnacentral:rRNA from 1 species
CAGCAGCCACGGUAAUACGUAGGGUGCAAGCGUUAAUCGGAAUUACAGGGCGUAAAGCGUGCGCAGGCGGUUUGUUAAGACAGAUGUGAAAUCCCCGGGCUCAACCUGGGAACUGCAUUUGUGACUGGCAAGCUAGAGUGUGGCAGAGGGGGGUGGAAUUCCGCGUGUAGCAGUGAAAUGCGUAGAUAUGCGGAGGAACACCGAUGGCGAAGGCAGCCCCCUGGGCCAACACUGACGCUCAUGCACGAAAGCGUGGGGAGCAAACAGGAUUAGAUACCCCAGUAGUCCCUGUCUCUUAUAC